rnacentral:rRNA from 1 species
AAACUCAAAGGAAUUGACGGGGCCCCGCACAAGCAGCGGAGCGUGUGGUUUAAUUCGAGGCUACGCGAAGAACCUUACCUAGGUUUGACAUCUGGCGCUACCCAGUGAAAGCUGGGGUUCCGAAAGGACGCCAAGACAGGUGCUGCAUGGCUGUCGUCAGCUCGUGUCGUGAGAUGUUCGGUUAAGUCCGAAAACGAGCGCAACCCCGGGUCUAGUUACAAGUGUCUAGACCGACUGCCUGCGACAAGUGGGAGGAAGGUGGGGAUGACGUCAAGUCAGCAUGGCCUUUACAUCUAGGGCUACACACACGCUACAAUGGCGCGUACAAUGGGAAGCAAGACCGCGAGGUGGAGCGAAUCCUGAAAGCGCGUCGUAGUUCGGAUUGCAGGCUGCAACUCGCCUGCAUGAAGCUGGAGUUGCUAGUAAACGUGGGUCAGCACACCACGUUGAAUACGUUCUCGGGGCUUGUACACACCGCCCGUCACGUCAUGGGAGCUGGUCACGCCUGAAGUCGGGAAGGUAACCGCAAGGAGCCUACUGCCGAAGGCAGGGCCGGU